GACGAACGCUGGCGGCGUGCUUAACACAUGCAAGUCGAACGGUGAUGCUCCAGCUUGCUGGAGUGGAUCAGUGGCGAAAGGGUGAGUAACACGUGAGCAACCUGCCCCAGACUCUGGAAUAAGCGCUGGAAACGGCGUCUAAUACUGGAUACGAAACUGGCCCGCAUGGGCAUGGUUUGGAAAGUUUUUCGGUUUGGGAUGGGCUCGCGGCCUAUCAGCUUGUUGGUGAGGUAAUGGCUCACCAAGGCGACGACGGGUAGCCGGCCUGAGAGGGCGACCGGCCACACUGGGACUGAGACACGGCCCAGACUCCUACGGGAGGCAGCAGUGGGGAAUAUUGCACAAUGGGCGGAAGCCUGAUGCAGCGACGCCGCGUGAGGGAUGACGGCCUUCGGGUUGUAAACCUCUUUCAGCAGGGAAGAAGCGAAAGUGACGGUACCUGCAGAAGAAGCACCGGCUAACUACGUG
rnacentral:rRNA from 1 species